AUGGGGAUCGUGCCACUCCAAAUGGCAUCUGCGUUGGAAAUUCUCUCGCAACUAGUGCUCUCUUUUCCAACGACAUAAGCGGAACUGUGCUUCGUCGUGUUGCCAGGAUGAUGGCCGAAGAGCUUCACGUGCUGCAGCAUCAGGAGCGAUUGGCCAAGGGCUCGGUUCGUGAUGUGGCUACGCAGACAACAGAACGCGGCAUGCGUUCCGUUCCAUGACGAGACUCUAUACACGAGGAGUAAGAAGACAUAAAGAAACAACGAAGAGAAAUAACGGCGCUCUUAUCGAGUGCCCGACUAGCCUCGACGACCUUGACGUCGUCACAU